rfam:Akkermansia sp. Pyt scaffold-0, whole genome shotgun sequence.
ACCGUAUUUUGUGCUUGCGGGGCCGUGAAGGCGGUGCUACAGUCCGUUCCAGCGUCCGGGUAACGGAAGGGGGUGGGAAUCCUCCACAGACGCGCUACCGUGAUUGGCUCGCAGAAGCCAUCAGUCGGGAGACGACCCGGAGCAAGAGUAUCACU